rnacentral:misc_RNA from 1 species
AGUGGUACCACUAUGGUCAAGGGAAUGUUACACAAUCCAGAAAAAAGUUAAAAGGUUGAAGAGCUAGCAUUUUCUCUUUAUCUCUCUCGGACUUCAUCCAUAACUCUACACAAAGGAAAGCCCCAUUAGCCACUUUAUAGAUCAGCAGAAAGAAAAAAAAAUGAGGGUUUACUCAUGUCACACACCCUCUUUGAUGAUCAAACCUCAAUACCUGGAUUAGACCUAAAAUAAAACUCAUAUGCAAUGCUCGAUAGCGAGAAACCAUACCACAAUCCUCACAUACAAGUCCCUUAAGCACGAAACCAGAAAUCCCAACCAAAAAGGAGGAUUUAGUGAUUAGCUAUUUUCACGGGUUUAAAAAAGUGCAUUGUUAAAAGUAGUGGUUUUAGCCACGCCUAAUCCCUGUGAAGUAAUUGAAGUCAUGGUGCUGGACCCUCAGUUGCUUUAGCCACGAAUCUGCCACACUCAAAAGUGACACCAGCCUUUCUUGGUCCCUGCCACAAUUGCCUGAGACCCACACAUUUCCCUGCAUCUUGUAAGUGGCCAAACCAAAUGGCGGCAGCGAGAUGCUUUCUCCUUCCUUUCGCUUCCUUUCCGGACUCUCAAUGUCGUCAUCUAUGUCCAUAUCUUGAAAAGAUGAUGAAAGGGUGUGGUAUGUGAGAAAGCAUGUGGACAAGUCCUUUAUGGUUCUCCCCAUGGGAAUGUGAUAGAUUGGGUACCAAGCAACAGCCAUCCAACUAGCUGGUGAAAGAUCCACACUUCGCAAUGACAUCAAACCCGGGUAUCUUUGAGCCAAUCCAUUAAUCUUAUCCAUCAAAGGAACUCUUCCAUAAGGAGUUGAUCUCUCAAAAUACUGAAAAUAUAAGUAACCCAAUCUAUCAUUGAGACGCCAAAGAUUGUCUUGCUCGAAUCCUCCUUCCUCUGAAGAGCCUCCAUCCCACCUCCAUAACUUGUCACUCUCACUCUCUUCACUGCAAGAAUCACUAAAUGAAUCCCUCGUCUCACCGUCACCGGACUCGAUCUCUUCCCUGAAACCGUUCAUGGAGGAAUUGCUUGUGAAAAUUUGGAUUGCAGAGAGAUAAGGGACAUAGUACUGAACUAAGGUUUCACCAUUGCUCAAGACAAUUGGAACUCCAGCCCCAUACGCGCUCCAUUCAUCAAAACAAUUCCAUAGAUCACCCAAGGUAAAAUACUCAACUGUUUCUCUCUCCCACGGAUGCCAUAGACGGUUUAAGUUUCUAAUCUCUGUCUUGGGGAGGAAUUG